GUUUCACAUCCAGAUGAGCUGUUUUCGGUGCCAUGGGGAGUCCAAGGAGAAUAACAAAUCUUCUCAUAUUUUCGACAACAGCUGAUAGCGCAAUCCGCAAAUGACUUUGUACUUCAUAAACCCUUAAUACAACAAGACUGCUAAUUUGCUGAGAGACUGGGAUUUUGAUGGAGAGACAUGAGGAGCCGCUUUUCCUUCAGUUGAGGGCAAACACACAGAUGUACGGAUAGCAAGACCGAAUACAACAGCAUUAACCGUGGAAUUAUUGCUAGCAUGAAAUUUUGACUGCAAAUUGACUGUAAUUAAAUUAUUAUAUAUUUCUGUAUUCUGACAAAACCAAGAUUCAUUUGAGAAUCAAAUAUUAAAAUAAAGCUUUUUUGACUGCA
rnacentral:lncRNA from 1 species